rnacentral:rRNA from 1 species
AUAAACGCUGAAGGCAUCUAAGCGUGAAGCCCCCCUCAAGAUAAGAUAUCCCUGACAAUAAGUCAAUAAGACCCCUUGAAGACGACGAGGUAGAUAGGUCCGAGGUGGAAGUGCAGUAAUGUAUGUAGCUGACGGAUACUAAUAGGUCGAAGGCUUGACCUUG